rnacentral:rRNA from 1 species
GGCAAACGGGAGAGUAACGCAUUGGUAACCUACCCUGAAGAUGGGAAUAACCUCGCGAAAGCGGGAAUAAUACCCAAUGGUAGUGGUUAGCACAAGCUAUCUACUUAAAGAUUUAUCGCUUCAGGAGGGACCUAUGUAUCAUCAGCUAGUUGGUGAGGUAAUGGCUCACCAAGGCUACGACGAUUACCGGGUGUGAGAGCAUGGCCCGGCUCACUGGGACUGAGACACUGCCCAGACUCCUACGGGAGGCUGCAGUCAAGAAUAUUCCUCAAUGGCCGAAAGGCUGAAGGAGCGACGCCGCGUGUAUGAUGAAGCCCUUUGGGGUGUAAAGUACUUUUAUAUAGGAAGAACAAAUGACGGUACUAUAUGAAUAAGGGGCUGCUAACUUCGUGCCAGCAGCAGCGGUAAUACGAAGGCCCCGAGCAUUAUCCGGA